rnacentral:rRNA from 1 species
UACGAAGGGUGCAAGCGUUGCUCGGAAUUAUUGGGCGUAAAGGGUAGGUAGGUGGUUACGUAUGUCUGGGGUGAAAUCCCUGAGCUCAACUCAGGAAGUGCCUUGGAAACGGCGUAACUAGAGUACUGGAGAGGUUCGUAGAAUUCCUGGUGUAGCGGUGAAAUGCGCAGAUAUCAGGAGGAACACCGGUGGCGAAGGCGGUUCUCUGGGCAUUACCUGACGCUGAGGAGCGAAAGUGUGGGGAGCGAACAGG